CCAUCGUUCAUCAAUCAAGCGGUCGAAUAAUUCGUAAUUUUACUUAAUUUUUCCAUAUUUGUGCCAAUCGUUACAUUAAUUUAGUGUCCAUAAUUCGUUCAAAGUCAGUGGAUGUUUAUAAAUGUAAAUAAUCAUCGUGUUGUGUUUGCAAACGUGCAUAUGCUUUGUUGUGAGAACCAACCACCACCUUUAUCUGCUGUCAUUCUGAGUUGUAGCAACUGAAUUUUUCGAUAAUGAAACAUAAGUUAUCCUUUGAAUGGUAGGUUAUCGACUGAACUAGAGUACAAGAAUAACAAAUCAGUAUCCAGUUGUUGAUGUGUCGUGAUGAGAGUGGUGUUCUUACACGGAGCAGUCAUCGGGAGAAUGUGCGGUGGCGUUUAGCCUUAGUGGCAGAGGACGUCAGAAAUAGGAUCCAGCAUGGAAUCGCUGAAGGACGAAGAACGUUUGCGGCGGCUGCGCGCCCUGGAGGAGCGGUUGUGUGACCCUCGCUCCACCGGCAACGUGGACUGCUUGCUGGACACCGUGACGGCGCUCGUCUCCGACUGCGACCACCCGGCUAUCCGUCGCAUGAAGAACGUUGAAGCAUAUACAAGUAGAUAUGAGACUUUUGCUUCAGACAUAGUAGACCUGCGUAUGAAAGCAGCAGAUUUUGAUUUGAUAAAAGUGAUUGGCCGUGGGGCAUUUGGUGAAGUGCAACUAGUCAGACACAAGUCUACACGUCAAGUGUAUGCUAUGAAGUUACUCAGUAAGGUUGAAAUGAUCAAAAGAUCUGAUUCCACAUUCUUUUGGGAAGAACGGCACAUAAUGGCACAUGCUAACUCUGAGUGGAUAUUAAAACUUCAUUUUGCUUUUCAAGAUCACAAGUAUCUUUACAUGGUCAUGGACUAUAUGCCUGGCGGUGACCUUGUAAGCCUUAUGUCAAACUAUGACAUACCUGAAAAAUGGGCAAAAUUCUAUACAAUGGAAAUUGUCCUAGCAUUAGACGUAAUUCAUGGUAUGGGUUUUGUACACCGAGAUGUAAAACCAGAUAAUAUGCUAAUCGACAAAUAUGGCCAUCUAAAACUAGCUGAUUUUGGUACCUGUAUGAGAAUGGGACCUGAUGGACUUGUGAGGGCGAAUAAUGCUGUUGGCACUCCUGAUUAUAUCUCACCUGAAGUUUUACAGUCACAGAAUGGUGAGGGGGUGUAUGGUCGGGAAUGUGACUGGUGGGCUGUGGGAAUAUUUUUGUAUGAAAUGUUAAUUGGUGAUCCUCCAUUUUAUGCAGACAGUUUGGUCGGUACAUAUGGUAAAAUCAUGGACCAUCGGAAUUCACUACAGUUUCCCGAUGAUGUUGAAAUCUCAAAGGAUGCCAAAUCCCUGAUCAGAGGUCUUCUAACAGACCGAAUAAAAAGAUUAGGUAAAAAUAGUGUUAAUGAAAUCAAGCAACAUCCAUUCUUUAUCAAUGACCAGUGGAGUUUUGAAAAUUUGAGAGAUUCUGUACCACCAGUUGUGCCUGAAUUAUCUAGUGAUGAUGAUACAAGGAAUUUUGAUGAUAUGGAAAAGUCUGAUGCCUUGGAUGAAUCUUUUCCUGUGCCCAAAGCUUUUGUAGGUAAUCAUUUGCCAUUUGUUGGCUUUACAUACAAUGGUGAUUAUCAGUUAUGCUCCAGAGGACUAAAGGCAGCAGAUGUAGUAGACACUAUUUCUAAUAAUCAUAUUAAUAAUGUUGGAUCUGAAGCUAUAUUGCAGCUAGAGAAAUUACUUGAACGAGAAAGAGAUGGUAGACGAAAAUUGGAGGACACCCAAGUAAGUUUAUGUGCUCAGUUAGAAGAAUUGUCUCAGAGGGAAUCUAGAAAUAAAAAAAUUAUUGCUGAUACAGAUAAAGAAUUAGCUUUAUUACGACACGAUCUGAAAGAGAUACAAAGGAAAGCUGACAUUGAAGCAGAGACAAGAAGAAAAGCGGAAUUUAAUUUCAACGAAGCAAAGCGGCGGCUUGAUGAGGAGCAAAGCAAACGAGCGAAAGAAAUAAACAAUCUACAAACAUACAACGACAAAAUAAAUGCUCUGGAAAUGCAAUUGACAGAGUUGCGUGAAAAAUUAAAGCAAGAAUCUGAGUCCGCUGCCAAGUCGAGGAAACAAGCGGCCGAGCUGACAGCUGCGCAGGCCGCAGCCGCUGCUGUUAAUGAUGGCACAGUGGCGAGUUUGCGAGCUCAGCGAGACAGCCUGGAGAGGGAACGGAGUACUCUAUCGGAGGAACUUGCUGCUGUAAAGGCAGCUAAACAGCGUUCAGACGCAGCUGUCACAGAAGCCACUAGCAGAUUGAACGCAGCUCAUGCUGAUCUCGAACGAUCUUCGGGCAGGCUUAAUCAAAUCAUGGCGGAUAACAGGCAGCUUUCAGAACGCGUGUCGUCGCUGGAAAAGGAAUGCGCGUCGCUGGCGCACGAGCUGCGCGCCGCCCAGCACAUGUACCAGCAGGAGCUGCGCGCGCACCAGGACACGCAGCGCUCGCAGUUGCUCUCUAAACAAGAAGCCAACUUGGAGCUUGUCAAGGGUGAGUCUCUUCAAUCCAAACUGAACGAGGAGAAGACGGCGAGGCAGCGCUCCGAGUCCGUGUGCCAGGAGAAAGAUCGCCAGAUGUCCAUGCUCAGCGUCGACUACCGGCAGAUGCAGCAGCGCCUGCAGAAGCUAGAGGGAGAACAUCGACAGGAAACUGAGAAGGCGAUGGGGUUAGCGGCUUCGCUGGAACAGGAGCGCGCGGCUCGGCUGGCGGCGGGCGGCGAGGUGGCGGCGGCCGAGGCGGCGGCGCGCGCGGCGGCGGCCGAGCGGGACGCGCGCGCCCGCGACCUGCUCGCCGUCAGGGCGGCGCUGCACGACGCCUCCGAGAAACUCGCCGCUGCCUCUGCGGAGCGCGACAUGCACUGCGCGAGGAGCGAGGAGCUACGCCAGCAGCUAGAGACGGAACAGCACUACUGCUUCGUGUACAAGAGCCAGGCGAACGACAUGCGUCUGAUGCUGGAGGAGAACACGCGGGCGGCGCGAGACUCCGAGCAGGAGCGCUCCAGCCUGCUGCACCAGCUGCAGCUCGCCAUCGCGCGCGCCGACUCCGAGGCCAUCGCCAGAUCGAUAGCAGAAGAGACAGUAGGCGAGCUAGAGAAGGAGAAGACGAUGAAAGAGUUGGAGAUGCGCGAUGCGCUGUCUCAGCAUCGCAGCGAGCUGGCGGCGAGAGACGCACUCGUGCAGGGGCUGCGGGACCGGGACCACGAGAACAGGGCUACCAUUGAUCUGCAGAGGAAGGAGGUGGACGAGCUCCGCCGCAGUGGUACUGCUCUGGCCGAGCGCGUGGCGUCACUGCAGCGCUUGCAGGAGGAAGUGGACCGGCUCAACAAGAAGCUUAACUCCGAGAUCAUGCUGAAGCAGCAAGCUGUCAACAAACUUGCUGAGAUCAUGAACAGAAAAGACAUGAACCCCGCGACGACGAAGAACAAGAGCAAGAUGUCGGUGCGCAAGGACAAGGACUACCGCAAGCUGCAGCAGGAACUGACUCGCGAGAAGGAGAAGUUCGACCAGCACAUCUCCAAGCUGCAGCGCGACCUGCAGGACUGUCAGCAGCAGCUGUUGGAUGAACAGUCCACGAGGCUGCGACUCGCCAUGGAGGUUGACAGCAAAGACGUGGAAAUCGAACAGCUGAAAGAGAAACUGGCGGCUCUAACAAGCGAGACUGCUUCACAAUCAUCAGCUGAUGCAGAAGACGGCGAGACGGAACAGACCCUCGAGGGCUGGCUCUCCGUGCCCUUCAAGCAGAACAUUCGCCGACACGGAUGGAAGAAACAAUACGUUGUCGUGUCCUCCAAGAAGAUCAUAUUCUAUAACACCGAGAACGACAAGCAGAAUACUACGGAUCCUGUCAUGAUUUUGGAUCUGAGCAAAGUGUUCCACGUGCGUUCAGUGACGCAAGGCGACGUGAUCCGCGCGGACGCGAAGGACAUCCCGCGCAUCUUCCAGCUGCUGUACGCCGGCGAGGGCGAGGCCAGGCGGCCCGGCGACCUCGCCGACCUGCCUGCCGAGGGCGGCGACCAUACUGGCAACACGGUGCAGCACAAGGGGCACGACCUGGUGAGCAUCACGUACCACAUCCCCACCGCCUGCGAGGUGUGCACGCGCCCGCUGUGGCACAUGUUCCGCCCGCCGCAGGCCUACGAGUGCCGACGGUGCCGCAUGAAGAUCCACGCGGAGCACGUGUCGGAGGGCGAGGGCGUGGCGGCGUGCAAGCUGCACGCGGACCGCGCGCGCGAGCUGCUGCUGCUGGCGCCCGGCGCGCCCGACCAGCGCCGCUGGGUGGCGCGCCUCGCCCGCCGCGUGCAGCGCUACGGCUACCGCGCCGCGCACCACCCGCACCACGACCACACCAAGCUCUCGCCCAGGGACUCGAUGCGCUCCAACCUGAAGUCGGCGUACAUGAACGCGUCACAGCGCAGCUCGACGUUGCCGGCCAACGCGUCGCUGCCGCGGCAGUGAGCUCCCCUCUACGGUACUUGACACAUACACGCCAGCGCGGACACCCCGAGCUACAUAUACUUUCUUAUUACGCGUUUCUUGAUUUUAAAGGUUAUAGUCGUGAGUCGCUUUGUUCAUCGCGCGUUGGUUUUUUUACUAACACUUUUUUCAAACAUUUUAUUCUAUGGGAUCUAGAAUAUAAUCUGUUUAUUUUGGAAACUAAUUGAAAUCAUUAUAUCGUUCUAUCAAUCGAGAUACUUUUAAAUAAGUAUUCUGGAUAUCUUAUAGUAAAUCAUUCAUCGAGUAUUGUUAAGACAUGAAGUGUAAGCGACGCGACGCGUGGCUCGAUCGCUAGCAUUUGAUCUGGCAUUUGACAAUAUUUGCUAUUUGAAUCUUUCAGAUAUUUUAUAUCCAAAAUUCAAUAACAAUUGUAAAUUAACUAGUCUUAAAUAAGUUUAAGUAUUUUUGUCCAAAUUUUUAUAAGAUUUCGGCAUGACUGCUGUGAUAGAUAUUGAAAAUAUAACUAUUUUGUACUUAUCAAAAUUUACCAACACCAAGUAGUUUUUCUUAAUAUUAUUUUAGAAGCUGAUUGUCAUGGCGAAAUCUCAGAGACGGAUGCAAUGGUGCUAUCUCGUGCAGCACUUGCAAGUUGUUCACAGUUUAUAUGGCAUCAGCUCAAGCGAGUGUGUUGUAUAGAACAACACUAAUAUUUUCUUGGCUCAUUACAAGUGAGUCAAGUGAAUAUCAGUAAGCGUGUUGAUAUUAUUAUGUUUUGUAUACUUAUAUUACGGUUUCGGAUGCGGCUUUACGUUGCGUACGACAACCAUGUGGUGUAGUAUU
rnacentral:misc_RNA from 1 species